AUCCCAAUAGCUCAGUCGGUAGAGCAUGAGACUGAAUCUUGGGGUUGUGGGUUUGAGACCCUUAUGGGGCA